AUUAGCGAAGAAUUUAUCAAUAAUAUACCAACAAUUUUAUGAUGGCUAUAACCUCAACAAUUGGUUCAAAUACCAUAACAAAAAACCGGUUACUUAUUUCUGUGAUACAUAUUUGAAAGAAGAAAACAGAGAGUUUUUUAAGGAUUUGACUGAAGGUAUA